rnacentral:rRNA from 1 species
AUUGAACGCUGGCGGCAUGCCUUACACAUGCAAGUCGAACGGUAGAGUAGCAAUACUUGAGAGUGGCGAACGGGUGAGUAAUAUAUCGGAACGUGCCCAGUCGUGGGGGAUAACGUAGAGAAAUUUACGCUAAUACCGCAUACGAUCUAAGGAUGAAAGCGGGGGAUUCGCAAGAACCUCGCGCGAUUGGAGCGGCUGAUAUCAGAUUAGGUUGUUGGUGAGGUAAAAGCUCACCAAGCCGACGAUCUGUAGCUGGUUUGAGAGAACGACCAGCCACACUGGGACUGAGACACGGCCCAGACUCCUACGGGAGGCAGCAGUGGGGAAUUUUUGGGACAAUGGGCGAAAGCCUGAUCCAGCAAUGCCGCGUGCAGGAAGAAGGCCUCGGUUGUAAACUAGCUUUGUUACGGUAACGGAAAAGGACG